rnacentral:rRNA from 1 species
CCUACGGGUGGCAGCAGUGAGGAAUAUUGGUCAAUGGGCGAGAGCCUGAACCAGCCAAGUCGCGUGAAGGAUGAAGGAUCUAUGGUUUGUAAACUUCUUUUAUAUGGGAAUAAAAUGUUCCACGUGUGGGAUUUUGUAUGUACCAUAUGAAUAAGGAUCGGCUAACUCCGUGCCAGCAGCCGCGGUAAUACGGAGGAUCCGAGCGUUAUCCGGAUUUAUUGGGUUUAAAGGGAGCGUAGGUGGAUUGUUAAGUCAGUUGUGAAAGUUUGCGGCUCAACCGUAAAAUUGCAGUUGAAACUGGCAGUCUUGAGUACAGUAGAGGUGGGCGGAAUGCGUGGUGUAGCGGUGAAAUGCUUAGAUAUCACGAAGAACUCCGAUUGCGAAGGCAGCUCACUGGACUGCAACUGACACUGAGGCUCGAAAGUGUGGGUAUCAAACAGGAUUAGAUACCCUGGUAGUC